UGGGGAAUUUUGGACAAUGGGCGCAAGCCUGAUCCAGCCAUGCCGCGUGAGUGAAGAAGGCCUUCGGGUUGUAAAGCUCUUUCGGACGGGAAGAAAUGGCGGGCUCUAACAUAGCCUGUCGAUGACGGUACCGUAAGAAGAAGCACCGGCUAACUUCGUGCCAGCAGCCGCGGUAAUACGAAGGGGGCUAGCGUUGCUCGGAAUCACUGGGCGUAAAGGGUGCGUAGGCGGGUCUUUAAGUCAGGGGUGAAAUCAUGGAGCUCAACUCCAGAACUGCCUUUGAUACUGAGGAUCUUGAGUUCGGGAGAGGUGAGUGGAUCUGCGAGUGUAGAGGUGAAAUUCGUAGAUAUUCGCAAGAACACCAGUGGCGAAGGCGGCUCACUGGCCCGAUACUGACGCUGAGGCACGAAAGCGUGGGGAGCAAACA
rnacentral:rRNA from 1 species